CCUGCAUGAUGACAAGCAAAUGCUGACUA
rnacentral:piRNA from 1 species